AGUCGCCUCAGCCGCGGUGUGAGGGAGCGGGAGUCUUCCUUAGCUUCUCCGCCAUGGGUGUCGCUUCGUAGCCGGGCUGCUCCGGGAAAGGCCUCGUACAGCACGCAUUCACCAGAAUCCUGUCAGCUUUCCUCUUCUCAUCCAGACGCCUGGCCAGGAUCCUCGAUAAGACCGUGACCCCCAACUUGGACACCCCAUAAGGAAAACUAGACAAUCCACCAGCCCAGGAGGGGACAAGCAGGCUUAUUCCUCCUCCUCGUCAUCUCUGGCUCCAGCCCCACCCUGGCCCUUGCUGGCAUUCUUCCUCUUCACGUGGCUGGGGUUGGCCACCCCAAUAGGGAAGCAGAGGGAGAAGUCAAUGUGCUUCUGGGAAUCCAGGCGGACAGUGAAGAACAGGAUAUUUACCACCUGCUCACGGACACGGAUAUGACACUGUUGAAUCAGCACAUGAGCGUGGCGGAUGGACUUAGCCAAGCCAAGCUUGAAGACCUGGGUCUGUAGGAAUCUCUAAGAAAUCAUUGAUCUUCAGGCCCAGGAUGUAAUCCAGCUUCAUCUUGCCCUCAUCCAGCACCCCAGUGCGGACCAGCCACUGCAGCAGGGCAAUGCCUUCGAACAGACGCCGUGGGUCCUUCUCAUCAAGCGUCAGCAGCUCCCGGGCGGCCUUAUGGAUCUUGACCAGGGUAAAUUUGACCCUCCAGACCUCACAUUUGUUCUGGAGCCCAUACUCACCAAUCAGCUUUAGCUUUUGGUCGAGAUGAGGUUUCUCGAAGGGUCUCUGCAGGGUCACAUAAGUUUGGCAACAAACCCAGCUCUGGGCCGCUGGCAUGUUGGCUCCACUUGCCCGUCUAUGCCUAAGCACAGGCCCUGGUCACUGAGAAAGAGCUCAAAUUUUUUAUAUAUUUCAUCUAAGGUGUUGAUUCUAUUGAUACCCUUAUCCUUUUAACAUGCCCUUAUCCUUUUAAUGUUGGUAAUGAUGCUACCUGUCAUUUCUGAGACUGGUUUGUGUCUUUCGUGUUUUUUUCUGAUCUGUCUGGCUAGAGGUUUACCAAUUGAUUUGAUUUUCCUCAAACUUCUGGUUACAAUGAUUCUCUCUCUCUCUCUUUUCCUGAUUAUAUUAAUUUCUGUUCUGAUCUUUGUUUCCUUUCUUCUGCUUACUGGAUUUUAUUUGCUCUUUUUCUGGUUUCUUACUGUAAAGGCAGAAGUCAUUGAUUUGCAUUGAUUUGAGACUUCUUUUCUAAUGUAGGCAGUAAGUGGUGUAAAUUCCCUUUUAGUAUGACUUUAGUGGCAUCUCACAUUGAUAUGUUUUCAAUUUCAUUCAGUUUAUUUUUAUUUAUUUUUUAAAUUAUUUAUUUAUUUAUUUAUUUUGAGUUGUGUAGCCCUUUAUUAGCAACUAAAAUAGAAGGUAUCUGUUGUACAACAUGGGUAGUAAUUGACUAUAACUGGAGAUUUAUUAUAUUCUAAUACAGAUCAUUUAUAAAUGCAAUUUCUUUAUUAAAAAGCUUCCACCUU
rnacentral:lncRNA from 1 species